rnacentral:rRNA from 1 species
UACGUAGGGUGCGAGCGUUGUCCGGAUUUAUUGGGCGUAAAGAGCUCGUAGGCGGUUUGUCGCGUCGGCCGUGAAAUCUCCACGCUUAACGUGGAGCGUGCGGUCGAUACGGGCAGACUUGAGUUCGGUAGGGGAGACUGGAAUUCCUGGUGUAGCGGUGAAAUGCGUAGAGAUCUGCAAGAAUACCCGUGGCGAAGGCGGCCAGCUGGGCCGGUUCUGACGCUGAGGCGCGAAAGCGUGGGGAGCAAACAGGG